rnacentral:tRNA from 1 species
GGGCGGUUAGCUCAGCGGUUAGAGCAUCCGGUUUACACCCGGAAGGUCGUCCGUUCGAAUCGGACACUGCCCACCA